rnacentral:lncRNA from 1 species
GUCCCGCUACCCGUGAACCCUUAACACUUGUAAUCAGAUUCUAGGGCCAUCCCCAUACCCCGUCCGGUAUGGGUGCCAAAAUUAUAAACCUCAAUACCUCGUCCGGUAUGAGGGUGAAAGGGGUCGUCCCCAUACCCCGUCCAGUAUGGGCGCCAAAACGCAUAAGAUCUCCAUACCCCGUCCGGUAUGAGAGACCACGAUCCCGGUAGGGUUCCCUACGGACCCGGUCCGUCCACCAUCUCCCAGGAUAUCUAGUCAGGCUGACCACACUAUACAAUUAUCAAUUCACAU